AAUGUGGAAGAAGACCACUUCUUACGGUUUCCAACACCGGAAACUGCUUGAGUUUCUUCUUAUUGGCUUGUCAUUCUGUUUGCAGGAACAUGGCUAUUGGAAAGAGAUCACUCCAAUUUAGUUUAUCUUGGCAUAAUGCUGUAUACUGUAACUUUCUCGAUGGGCAUGGCAGGGUUACCUACGGUAA